UGCAAGUCGAACGAACCUUCGGGUUAGUGGCGGACGGGUGAGUAACGCGUGAGAAUCUGCCCUCAGGAGGGGGAUAACAGUUGGAAACGACUGCUAAUACCCCAUAUGCCGAGAGGUGAAACUAAUUUCGCCUGGGGAUGAGCUCGCGUCUGAUUAGCUUGUUGGUGGGGUAAUGGCCUACCAAGGCUUUGAUCAGUAGCUGGUCUGAGAGGACGAUCAGCCACACUGGGACUGAGACACGGCCCACACUCCUACGGGAGGCAGCAGUGGGGAAUUUUCCGCAGUGGGCGAAAGCCUGACGGAGCAACGCCGCGUGAGGGAUGAAGGCCUUUGGGCUGUAAACCUCUUUUCUCAAGGAAAAAGAUCUGACGGUACUUGAGGGAUAAGCCACGGCUAAUUCCGUGCCAGCAGCCGCGGUAAUACGGGAGUGGCAAGCGUUAUCCGGAAUUAUUGGGCGUAAAGCGUCCGCAGGCGGCCGUUUAAGUCUGUUGUUAAAUUGUGGAGCUCAACUCCAUCACGGCAAUGGAAACUGUUCGGCUUGAGUAUGGUGGGGGCAGAGGGAAUUUCCGGUGUAGCGGUGAUAUGCGUAGAUAUCGGGAAGAACACCAGUGGCGGAAGCGCUCUGCUGGGCCAUUACUGACGCUCAUGGACGAAAGCCAGGGGAGCGAAAUGGAUUAGAUACCCAUGUAGUCCUGGCCGUAAACGAUGAACACUAGAUGUUGGGGGAAUCGACCCCCUCAGUGUCGUAGCUAACGCGUUAAGUGUUCCGCCUGGGGAGUACGCACGCAAGUGUGAAACUCAAAGGAAUUGAUGGGG
rnacentral:rRNA from 1 species